GGGGGUAUGGCGGAAUUGGUAGACGCUACGGACUUAAGAAAAUCCGUUGGCUUUAUUGACCGUGAGGGUUCAAGUCCCUCUACCC
rnacentral:tRNA from 1 species